rnacentral:tRNA from 1 species
GGCCGGUUAGCUCAGUCGGUUAGAGCGUGGUACUGAUAACUCCAAGGUCAUGGGUUUGAUCCCUGCUUGGUCC